GUCCACGCCGUAAACGAUGUUCACUAGGUGUUGGGGUAUUGACCCCCUCAGUGCCGGAGCUAACGCAUUAAGUGAACCGCCUGGGGAGUACGGUCGCAAGACUAAAACUCAAAGGAAUUGACGGGGCCCGCACAAGCGGUGGAGCAUGUGGUUUAAUUCGAUGCAACGCGAAGAACCUUACCUGGGCUUGACAUCCACGGAACCUGCUGGAAACAGCGGGGUGCCUUUCGGGGAGCCGUGAGACAGGUGCUGCAUGGCUGUCGU
rnacentral:rRNA from 1 species